rnacentral:rRNA from 1 species
UACGGAGGAGGCAAGCGUUAUCCGGAAUUAUUGGGCGUAAAGCGUCCGUAGGUGGUUGGCCAAGUCUGCUGUCAAAGGGUGGGGCUGAACCUCAUAAAGGCAGUGGAAACUGGCGAGCUAGAGUGCGGUAGGGGUAGGGGGAAUUCCCAGUGUAGCGGUGAAAUGCGUAGAGAUUGGGAAGAACAUCGGUGGCGAAGGCGCCCUGCUGGGCCUGCACUGACACUGAGGGGCGAAAGCGUGGGGAGCAAACAGG